GGGGGCGAGUCGGUCCCGGUGGGCCGCGCGGACUUCAAAUCCGUUUGAGGGGCAUUAAGAGUGUCCCUGGUGGGUUCGACUCCCAUUCGCUCCCGCCA
rnacentral:tRNA from 1 species